CCAAAUCUUGGGUGCUCUCUGGAUAGCAGAAAAAUCCAAUAUAAAUGCUGUUUUUCUUCAAUCAGUCACACUAGUCAGAGUCUACAGUGCUAUAGUUGACCUAGCUUUUAAGUGAAGCCUCUGUGGACUAGACUGGAAACCCACACAUACAUAUUCCUUGUCCAUUUCCUGACAAGGAGAGGGUCACCUGAAUUUUCUUUUUUUUUUCUUUUUUUUUUUUUUGAGACAGAGUCUUGCUCUGUCGCCCAGGCUGGAGUGCAAUGGCACAGUCUUGGCUCACUGCAACCUCCACCUCCCAGGUUCAAGCGAUUCUCCUGCCUCAGCCUCCUGAGUGGCUGGGAUUACAGGUGCACACCACCACGCCUGGCUAAUUUUUGUAUUUUUAGUAGAGAGGGGGUUUCGUCAUGUUGGCCAGUCUGGUCUCGAACUCCUGACCUCAAGUGAUCCGCCCGUCUGGGCCGCCCAAAGUGCUGGAAUUACAGGCAUGAAGCACCACGCCGGCCUUUUCUUUCCUUUCAGACUGGAUGCUUCCCAAGGCAGAAAUCCAGUCACAAGUUUAAUUGCUGUCUAAGGUGAAUAUAUAAGAACCCCAGGAGAUUUUUCAGAACUUUAAUGUGAUUAAUUUCAGAAUUAGGUUUUUAUUGGAUUCUGUGUUUGGAAGGAUCAGAGCUCAGAGUCCCCAAAGUGAAAGCCAGGUUAGAUGCUUUCAAAGGGACAAGAGAACUGAAGAGGGAGUGCCAAGAACAUAAUUGCUACAGCAGUGUGGGGUAAGACAGCCUUCUUCAGGCUGACGCUGCAGGGUCUUUUCCUUCCUUCUCCCUCUCCUUUUUAUAGUUCCUCAAACAGUAGUUUUCUUAAUUUUGUUCAUUUUAAAAGAUGGUAUAGGCCGGGCGCGAUGGCUCAUGCAUGUAAUCCCAGCACUUUGGGAGGCCGAGAUGGGUGGAUCACCUGAGAUCAGGAGUUCAAGACCAGCCCGGCAAACAUGGCAAAACCCCUUCUCUCCUAAAAACACAAAAAUUAGCCGGACGUGGUGGUGCACAUCUGUAAUCCCAGCUACUCAGGAGCUGAGGCAGGAGAAUCACUUGAACCUGGGAGGUG
rnacentral:lncRNA from 10 species